UCUGUCCUAUGGUGCUCCCAGCUCCCCUGCCCGCUCUUGCCCUUCUGUCCUAUGGUGCUCCCAGCUCCCCUGCCCGCUCUUGCCCUUCUGUCCUAUGGUGCUCCCAGCUCCUCUGCCGUCUGCCUGCUCCUGCCUUUCUGUCCUAUAGUGCUCCCAGCUGCUCUACCGUCUGCCCGCUCCUGCCCUUCUGUCCUAUGGUGCUCCCAGCUCCUCUGCCAUCUGCCUGCUCCUGCCUUUCUGUCCUAUGGUGCUCCCAGCUCCUCUGCCGUCUGCCCGCUCCUGCCUUUCAAGACCGACUGCCUAUCCACUUCCCUCUGGCUAGGGAUCUUCUUCAGUUGCUCAAACUCAGUAGCCUGCCUCUGUCUCGGGACACCUGGUCUCACUCCUUGCUCUCCACUUACCACAUUCCCUUGUGGGCUUUCUCAUCCCCCAGGCCCUAGAACUCAAAUACCCCCUCCAUGGAGAGGCAGCUCUUGGCCAGGCCUAAAGUACAGCACGCUGGUCUCACUCCAGCAGCAGGGUGUCCUGCCCUAUUUCCCCACCGCAGCAGCCGUGACCGGACACUGCUGUGUGUCCCGUCAUGCCACGCUGACAGGGGACCUGGCCUGUCCUGCCCACGGCUGUGUUCUCAUGACCUAGUGCAGGACACAGGACAUCUGCACACCUCUGAAAGCAUCUUGGGAAAGGACAAGAUGAGAGAGGAACGUGGGCAGAGUAUGGUUUUUGGGGAAGGGACUGGGAGAAGCAGCCUGGUGGAGGGGAGAUGCAGCCUGGCAGAGGGGAGAAGCUACUUCUCCACAGAGCAGGUGGGAGGAGGUCAGCUGUGGCUGUCUGCCAGAGCCAGAAACAAGAAAACUACAAGUAUCUCCGAAUAUAUAAAAAUGUAAGUACAGUGGCAAUGAUAAUCUUUGAACUCAUUUCAUUCUCAAAGAUGAAAGACUAAUGCUUUGCGUGGUAAGACUGAGACAAUGACCUUCUUGGAGAUGGAAAUUGGUGUGACAUUGUCAGGAUAGCAGGUUAGUUAUAUCGUAUCAACCAUCAGAGGAUCUUCCACCCUGGAACGUUACCUGGGUUAUCCCGAGAGGACGUAAGCAGUGGCAGCAGAGUGGCAGUGCUCACCAAUGGUGAGAGCUAACAUCUACCCAGUGCUUGCUAUAUGCCAGGCCCUGCUUUAAAUGCCCGGUGUAGCACAUGUCAUUUAACCCUUUCAACUCUCCUUUCAGGUAUGCAUCCCCAGCACUGUUAUUUUAUAGACAAAGACAGAAAACGUCUCUGUUCUAGCAUGUGCAAGGCAAGACACUUCAUGCGAUAUUUACCAACUUAUUUAUUGUAACUUUUUUCAAAUGGCAGAGAAGAUAAAGGAGAAAAGGUGACCCAAAGUUCUCUGAUGAAUGCUCCUGGCCUCUUUCCAUGUACAUGUACAGAAUUGCUUAUAAAAGGGCUAUUCAGAAAUUAUAAUAUUGCUCAAAAUGCUUGCCCUGAACAGCAAUAUAUUGGUUUUUGAUAUUGAUAAUAUCUUUUAAAUGUCCUGUUAUUAAGAGGGUGAGAAAACCCUGUGUACUAAACCACAGAAAAGAUUUCUCUUCUCAUGGGACCCUGCAAGGCCAGGGGCAGAUGAUACAAUGAAGCUGCCACUUGACCACGGAGCACACUAGGUCUUAGCAGCUUGGUGGACUCGCUGGUCAUCGAGUAACCUUGCUGCUUCGUCCCUCACUGGACGUCGGCAUGCAUAAAAAUAUGGCCCCUUUACAAAAUUCUUUCACAGCUUCCAGAUUUUACUGGAAACCGUCUUCUUCCCUGAGCCCAUUCCAGGCCUCUUCAGCACAUGCAGUUUUCCGCGUUCUUCAAGAAGCGGCUUAUGCUAGGAAGUCUGGGUAAGGAGCUAAGAGGCUGAGCGCUGUCCAGUGCUGAGAACUGUUCUGAGACUUUUAGAUCCACGGAAUCCCCUGAACAACACUUGAAGGAUGCUUUUGAUGUCUUUUCCUAACUUGAAUUUUUUCCCAAAUGGAAUGUCAGAAAUAAUAACAUCGACACUUUGUGACGGCAGCGGUAUCUCUGCAGUGGAGAAACCAGAGACCCUGGUUAUGGCAAGGUCAGGCACUGACCACCUCAACAAGACACUGACCUACUCAAUAAAAUGCAGAGUUUCUAUAUUGUUUCUACGAGGUGACAAGACUCAGGAUGCUUUGGAGAUUGAAGACAAAGGGCAGCAACACUAUUGUGUAAUCCUCCCUGGUCUGGCAGGGUCACUGGCAGGAGGAAACUGCAGAGGGCAGUGUUGUAGAAUAUUAUUUUAAGCCCACAGCAUCAGCAUCUACAGGAAGUACCACUGACUGCGCGUUCACCUAAGGGCUCUGCAACACAGACCGUGGGCUAGCACCCAACUCCCAAGACAGCACACAGUGAAACCCUGUAAAUUAAGUGCUCCGAACUGCCUGUGGACGGAUCACCUGUAACUAAGGACAAGGCCCUAAAACAGGAACAGCAAAAGCAAACAAGCAAACGAGCGAACAAUUCUGUUUUACAUCUCUGGAGGAUGAUUCAAGAAUGGGAAAGAAGUUUAGUUUGAAAACUGGGUCAACAAAAACAAAAGAACUACUUGGGUUCUCCUUUGUUUUCUGGCAGAAAGAAGGGUUAAAAAGACUUAAAACACAGGGCUGUGGAGCUAAGAUUCUCUCUUGUAGGCUUUACGGGCCCUCAGGUAUGCUUUCACUAUAAACACAGGAUUAGUUGGUGGAGGGCUUUUCUAGAAGUGGGCACUCUCUCUCUUCUAUUUUUCCCUCGUAUUUUCUGUGGCUUCUCAUCCCCUCCCUUGUCCAGGCCUGGGACACUCAUGUUCUGUCAGAAACAACCAUUCUCUUAGUUGUUUAAAGUUAGUUCUAUACUAUAAUGAACUCAAUCAUCUUGCCCUGACGUCCUCUGUUCCUCAGCUGAUUCAUCUUUUCUAUGUCUGCAUUUUAUGAAACACCUCCCAGGCCGCAAAGAGCUAAUUAGUGAAAUGUUCCCUGAACAUUUUACAUUGGAAAGUGUCCGUUGUAAAACACUAUUGUGGAUGGUAUAUUUUUGGGUCAGUCUGCUUCAGACACUGUGAAACAGACACUACUACCCUAGAAACUGUUGUAACUUGUCUCUUUCCAUUGUGGCCAAAAACAAUGAAGAUGCUUAUUUAGCUGGCUCAUCACCUUCCCCGGUCAGUCAGCUGCUGCUGGGUCUUCUUCUAUGCUCAUAACUCUUUUGUUUAUAUCAGCUAAGUAUAGGGAGGCACAAAUAAUGUCAUCCAAUUUUUUGCUUUGUUUAUGUGUAGCCCUGGCUGUCCUGGAACUCACUUGUAGACUAGGCUGGCCUCAAACUCAGAGAUCCGCCUGCCUCUGCUCCCAAGCGCUGGGAUUAAAGGCAUGCACCGCCGCCGCCACCACCAGCCAGCAGCUCGCCUGUUUUUAUGUGUGCCACACGCACAUAGUGCCUUUGGAGGACAGAAGUGGCUGCUGCAUUCUGAGACUGGAGUCACAAACAGUUGUGAGCUGCCAUGUGGGUGCUGGGACUCAAACCUGGGAAGAGUAGCCAGUGCUUUUAAUAACUGAGCCAUCUCUCCAGCCCCUAAAAGUAGUCUUAAACAUGUAAAAUGUACUUUGGCAACUGGGUUGGGAUACCAUUUAAUUUAUAGUUCAGUAAGGAAUAUUGUUGAAAAGGAGAAUGCUAAAAUUAAUACACUUUGGAAAUACCCAUUAUCCUACCUGAUGGUGGGCAUAAAAACAACACAUAUUUGUGCAUAUUAAGGCUUUAAUCAAACCUUAAAAAUCUGAACACUGCCGGGGGUGUGGUGACACAUGCAUUUAAUCCCAGCACUUGGGAGGCAGAGGGAGGUGGAUCUCUGUGAAUAGCCAGCCUGGUCUACAAAGUGAGAUCCAGGACAGCUAAGGUUGGUACAUAAAUAAACCAACUUGGAAAAAAAAUCUGAACACUAAAAUAAUUGUAGUAUUCACUCAUCUAUCAAUCAGCUUCAUAGACACAUUUGUUUCUGAUCCUGUGUUAUCAAUGGCUUAAAGCUGUUUUUCAUAAAACUGCCUGUGAGCUUCAACGUUCUCUCAUAUUUAAAAACUUCUUGGGCUACAUUUACAUUUGAGAACAUAUUUUGUCUAGAGGUGUUCAAGUCAAAAUGGGUCUCCGAGCAAAGUCCACUAAGUGCAGGCUACUGUCAAUUCUACCUCAGGUGGCAAACGGGAACAUUCUGGCCCUCAGAGUCCUUCCACUCAGUGACUCCAGCAAACAUACAAUUCAGAUAAGUCGUCUCUAUUGUUCUUAUUUCACCAAGUGUAGACUCAACAGAAUGAGAACCGCAGUUCCAUUCCAUUCUAUUCUAGAAUAUACUCAUGUCCAACUAAAACCAAGAAAGUCAUCAGAAGAUUCUUGCCACAAGACAUCCGAGGUAUAUUUACAGGAUGAAUUUUACCUUGUGCAGUAUUGAACUCAAUUAUCUGUUCAUGCUUGCCUGCUUGCUAACUUUAUUUUUAAUAACAAAUCAUCAAAAAAAAUCAUAAUUGUAAGAACACUUGCAAUUGAAUAGUGAACAACAUGAAUUUAGAAAACCUCCCAUUCCACGUCAACGAAAAGCCAUGCUUUACACACACAGUGAUGGUAAAUGCAUUUUCUUCAGCUGCAUGAGACAAACAUCUGGCUUUGAUCCACAAAUGUCAUUAAAAUCACCCCUAAGCCUUGAAGUAAAUGCUAGGUGGUUCUAUUAUUAGACUUGUCUCACUCGGUCACAGUGGACAGGAAAUGUCAGCAGACUUCAUUCACGUUACGUGCUCAUCAUUACCUUUCUAGGGAAGUACAGACUUGGUACUUACCGUCCUGUUAAAUCCACACUCUCAUGAACUUACUGGCGCUAAGAGUUCAUUACAAAAUAGAAACGUUACCAAACAGUUCAAUGACAGCAUGCAAACACUUUCGAGGUGAGUUCUCACCCAUUUUCUGUUAUACUUCACGUUCACCUAGCCCUACCAUGUCCUGUGUUUGCUGGUUAACUCCGCAGAGGUAACACCAGCCAGGCCAGCAGGAUGGGAAAUAAGUGUUAGAGGAAAAUACACCAGCAUGAAGGGAAAUGAAACGACAUGACCUUAAAAACAGCUCAUUAAACUCCUGCACAAGGGUGGCCAAAGAAUCUUGUUAUAAUGAAGCCUGUUGAUGAAGUGAUGAGUGACGAGCUGUGGAAUGUCUGUCGGGAUGCAAUGUAAACAUUCCCUUUACUUAGUCACCUUGUAAUUACAUCACAAAUGUGUUUCUUUUGCUCAGAUCUGUGUGUUACAGCUUCUACCAUAUGUUAAGAAUGUGUAUAUGUCAACAGAUGAAAAUGCCUAGUCAGUGAUGAGUUCUCACUUCCCAAGAUAAGUGGUGGCACAUUAUUCUAUUCCACAUUUUCACGAUGAUUAAAACUCAGGAACAAAUUCACAGAAUUUCUUCAUAUAAAGUGAUCAUCUUGGUUCACACUAGCAGAGGGUUCCAACACAAAGUGAAUGCUAACAAGAAGCAGAAAUAGUAGCCAUUAAAACCAAUAAAAAGUAAAUGAUAAAGUGGGGUCAAUGAGACGGCUCAGUGGGUAAAGGAGCUUGCUGCCAGGCCUGAUGACCACAUGGAAGGAGAGAAGUGACUCCUGUAAGUUGUCCUCUGACUUUACAUGCGUCAAAUGAAGCUCACGUGCGCGUACACACACACACACACACACACACACACACACACACACACACACACACACAAAAAUAAAUAAACAUAAUGCAAUAAAGAGAAUAAGAUGAUGGUUUUAUAUAAAUAAAACUCACUCUAUUUAAGAACAGCAGAGGUACCUUUCCUUGUCGUUAAAGUGAAACUUUAUGGAAAACAUCUCCAAAGUGAAUCAGCAGUGAAGCUGGGAAUGUGGCAGAGGUCCGGUGGGCAAUCAUCGUGCCCUCCCUCAAGCCUGCAAGGUGCCGUGGAGAAAGCAAACAGGUUCAAAAACCCUGGCUCUGAGACAGCUUAGGACGCUGUUCUCUUAAAGGUCUCAGAAGAGCCUCCUUAAAGAACUGGACUCACAAGAACUUGAUCUGGUCAUCUCUCAUUACUCUAGAAAUCUGGGCCUUAAGAUUGAGCAGUGGCCACUGCUGAAAACAACCACGAGCGUGCGAUCAGCCUGAAUCUUCCUGGAGGCUGCUCUCUGGAGUUUCUAAUGCCAAACUGAUGCUAACAUUUUCCCUGUGGUGCUCAUUUCUGCUGCUCUCUCUCUCCAGAAGAGAAACUAUAGAAACACACUCUGUUCUUUUGGAUUAUAGGUUCAAUAUUUACUCAUAGCCAAGAGCAGGAUACUUCUUUCUCAGCAGAAUGAAAUGAGCUGCUUUUUGAAAAGGACAGUGUGACACCAAGUAACCAAGCAGGCAAGGAGCUCAGAGAUGCUGCUUAAACAGCACCAGGCCACAGAGGUUAGGGACAUAGGACAGGGACUCUGCAUGCUUGGUACCUGCUCCCAUCUGCCACUGCUGAUUCCCCAUCAGCGAAGAGGGGGUGAUGGUUACAUCCAUCCUGGUUUGCCCAGAGCUCCCUGAGUUCUUGAAAGUAUGGGUUUAGCACCCAUGGUGGGUGACUAACCCACUUCUCUGUGUCUAAGCAAAGGAUCGGCUUAUUCACUUCAUACAGCUCAGGUGAAAGAAAUUCAAAUACUUUCUUCUUCCUCUAAUACUCUAUGCUCUGGUUGCAUCCUUUCAUUCCAGACCAUGAGAAGGCAAUGAAUCAGUUGUAAUAAACACAUCUUCAAAAAGUGUGCUCCAGCUUAAGUGCUAUGGAAACUACAUAAAUACCACUUCCCAGUUAGGAAUGUUUUGGGAAAAAAAAAAUCAAACAACUGGAGUAGUGGAAGUAACGUGCAUGUUAGCCCCAGAGCUCCCACAGGGCACCAGCAACCACACCCGUGCACCAACGCAGUGGCUCUUGUUUUGUUUCUUACGCUCUUACCUGUGA